rnacentral:rRNA from 1 species
CCUCAGAUCUAUCGAUAUAUAAAAACAGAGGUGCAUUUUAAAAUCAAAAAUUUUAUGUGGUUUAUGCAUAAGGGAGUGAUUCUGACUAAGGACAAUUUGACAAAACGUAGGUGGGAGGAGAGUAAACGAUGUUGCUUUUGUGAUAACAAGUAAAUGAUUCAACAUUUGUUUCUCAAAUGCCCACUAGCCAAAUUAUUGUUGUGA